rnacentral:rRNA from 1 species
CACGGGGGGAGCAAGCGUUGUUCGGAAUUACUGGGCGUAAAGGGCGUGUAGGCGGUCAAGUAAGUGGAAUGUGAAACGCCUCGGCUUACCCGAGGACCUGCAUCCCAAACUGCUUGGCUUGAGUAUGGGAGAGGAUGAGGGAAUUCCUGGUGUAGCGGUGAAAUGCGUAGAUAUCAGGAGGAACACCGGUGGCGAAAGCGGCAUCCUGGACCGGCAUUGACGCUGAGGCGCGAAAGCCAGGGGAGCAAACGGG